rnacentral:rRNA from 1 species
UACGAAGGGUGCAAGCGUUACUCGGAAUUACUGGGCGUAAAGCGUGCGUAGGCGGUUUGUUAAGUCUGUCGUGAAAGCCCCGGGCUCAACCUGGGAAUGGCGAUGGAUACUGGCGAGCUAGAGUACGGUAGAGGAGAGUGGAAUUCCCGGUGUAGCAGUGAAAUGCGUAGAGAUCGGGAGGAACAUCAGUUGCGAAGGCGGCUCUCUGGACCAGUACUGACGCUGAGGCGCGAAAGCGUGGGGAGCAAACAGG